UCUCAAAUCUGGACUGAGGCUCAGUCCAGUACCGGAGUGACCCGGCCCAGAGUCAAGAUAAGAGGGAGGAGAAACCCCUCAUUUUACAAAACACACACACACCAAACAGCUCCUAUACUCUCCCUCUCUCCUCCCCCUUCCCUUUUUUUCCCUAAGCCUAGCGCCGCCUUCGAUCUUCUCUCUCCCUCUUUCAUGCCAAGAAUGGCAAUGGUAUAGAGAUCUCAGAGUUCUCGCAGGUUUUGUACAACCAAAAUGCAUGAAACAAGUAAUGUUUCAAUGUUUGUUGUUUGAAAUCACUCCAAACACGGUAUUAGCCUUUUCCUCUUUCGCUUUUCCUUUAAUUUUUCAAAUCAAACAUUGCAAUUUCUGUGUUUAUUUGACUGUACGAAUGAAUUUUUAUUGGUUCUGAGAGCUUGGCUUGGAUAGAUCCAAGAUGGAUCAGAUCUGGCCGUGAAUGCUUGUUAGCUUUAGACCCUAGUCGUUAAAAUUUUGAUGUUGAAUGUUUGUUCUGAGAAAAUCUUUUCUACCACAUCGUUGGUUUCACUAUUUUUCACAGCUUUGGGGUUCUAUUUUAUAGAACCCCAACCUUACAGGGAAAAAAAAGGGAAAAAAGAAAAAAAAAGUUGGGACAACUCGAAAAAGCUCUAGUUUUAAGUUCAAACUUGAAAUCUGAGCUGUUUGGUAUAAUUUUAGACUUUGGCCUUAAAGGGGUUCAAGUCUCUCUCAGUUUAAAAUUUUUAUUUAUUUUUUCUCUGUCUUCAUGUUGCUGAGUUUUGGAUUGGAAGCACAAGGCUCCAAGUUCAACUCUUGACAAAGGCUGCGCUCAAAAAAGGUUUGAACCUGAUAUGGUUGCACUCUCGGGAAGCUAUUAUGGUGGAGAAGGAUAAGGAGAGCAAGGAAUAGGGAAAGACACAGCAGAUCGAAGACGGAGAACUUUAUAUGUCAUACCCCAAGAGUAUUAAUUUUGUAUCCUUUUCUGAUUUUUUUUCGUUCAGACAAUACUUAAAAUGAAUUAGCAUGAUAAUGUACUUUAAAGAUUUGAAUUUUUUUUCUACUGAUACAUAUAAGUUGUUGUAUUCACAUCUCUUACCUUUGUCCAUAUGUCUAA